rnacentral:sRNA from 1 species
UCCCAAGCGGGGCAGACAGCGAGCGUAU